ACCUCACCCAAAGUUCAAAACGAACUAAUUGAUCUGUGUGCCAGUCCAGUAGUUGACACAAUCGUUCAGGACUGUUCGGUUUCUAAAUACUUCGGUAUCAUUGCUGAUGAAGCUACUGACAAAUCGACAAAAGAACAAUUGUCUAUAUGCUUAAGGUUUGUUGAUGAAUCGGGUGAUAAACCAACUGUGAGGGAGGAAUUCGUUGGCUUUGUAAAAGCAGAUAGUUUGAAGGGAGAACACUUAUCGCAAAUGAUUAUUAAUGAAAUUGCUAAAUACGGACUUGACAUAAACUACCUGAGGGCGCAAUGUUAUGACGGAGCGUCUAACAUGAGUGGAAAAUACAGUGGUGUUCAGGCCA
rnacentral:sRNA from 1 species